GAUGAAGAACGUAGCGAAAUGCGAUACUUGGUGUGAAUCGCAGAAUCCCGUGAACCAUCGAGUCUUUGAACGCAAGUUGCGCCCGAAGCCAUUAGGCCGAGGGCACGCCUGCCUGGGCGUCACACGUCGUUGCCCCCCCAUCUACUCCUUCGGGAUUGCGGGGGGCGGAUGAUGGCCUCCCGUGCGCCUCGCCGCGCGGUUGGCAUAAAUGCCAAGUCCUCGGCGACGCACGCCACGACAAUCGGUGGUUGCGAAACCUCGGUUGCCCGUCGUGUGCGGUCGUCGCGCAUCGAGGGCUCGAAAAAAUUGCCGGGUUCCGGCUCGGCUUUCAACGCGACCCCAGGUCAGGCGGGGUUACCCGCUGAAUUUAAGCAUAUCAAUAAGCGGAGGA
rnacentral:misc_RNA from 1 species